CUCCAGCAUGGCCGCAGUCAAAUGACUGAAACAAGUAAAAGACAAAAGAAGAUAUUUUGACCAGUUUGACCUCUUGUUAUCAAUCCAGUUGCUUACCUAGGAUAUUUGUAG